AUGGGCGCAGCCUGAUGCAGCGACGCCGCGUGCGGGAUGACGGCCUUCGNCAANGUAAACCGCUNNUGACUGGGAGCAAGCCCUUCGGGGUGAGUGCUACCUUUCGAAUAAGCACCGGCUAACUACGUGCCAGCAGCCGCGGUAAUACGUAGGGGGCGAGCGUUAUCCGGAAUUACUGGGUGUAAAGGGUGCGUAGGCGGCACCGUAAGUCUGUUGUGAAAGGCGAUGGCUUAACCAUCGAAGUGCAAUGGAAACUGCGGAGCUAGAGUGCAGGAGAGGAAAGCGGAAUUCCUAGUGUAGCGGUGAAAUGCGUAGAUAUUAGGAAGAACACCAGUGGCGAAGGCGGCUUUCUGGACUGCAACUGACGCUGAGGCACGAAAGCGUGGGGAGCAAACAGGAUUAGAUACCCUGGUAGUCCAAGGGCGAAUUC
rnacentral:rRNA from 1 species